rnacentral:rRNA from 1 species
GACGUAGGGCGCGAGCGUUGUCCGGAUUUAUUGGGCGUAAAGCGCGUGUAGGCGGCUUGGUAAGUCCGGUGUGAAACCUUGGGGCUCAACCCCAAGCCUGCACUGGAUACUGCCUCGCUUGAGUCUGGGAGGGGAGAGCGGAAUUCCUAGUGUAGCGGUGAAAUGCGCAGAUAUUAGGAAGAACACCGGUGGCGAAGGCGGCUCUCUGGAACGGUACUGACGCUGAGACGCGAAAGCGUGGGGAGCGAACAGG